UAUGCUUUAGUAUAUGAUGUACAAGGGUUUUUGAUGCUCGAGGAGCCAGUUUAAUUCUGGUAAGUGUAA
rnacentral:tRNA from 1 species